rnacentral:lncRNA from 1 species
CAAGCUAAACACCUUCGGCCCCUUUUUUGGUUUUCACCAAAAAAAAAUAAAAAUAAAAAUAAAAAAAUUACAAAAACCUAAAGAUGAAAAAGAAAUAAAGUUGUCAUCACUUUGAGAGUCAUUUUUAAAAGACAAAGCUGAUUCGAAGAUGGUAUCUUCGACAAUACUUCAAGCAUUGAUCGAUGAUGGGGAAGCCAUUAGUUUUACCGGUGAAGUUUAUUAUUUUUUAAUUUACUUGUUUUAUUUUUCUAAUAAGUCAUGGAAUAUGAACGCAUAACUUUAGAUGUUCAUUUUUCCGACCAUAACGGGUGUUACAUUCCAUUUUGCACUUUUAAUUGAAUCAUUACCCUUGAUGAUUGCACAUUUGUCUGUAAUUGUAGACAACAAUCAUCGAUAGCGCUUUGUUUACUUAUCAUCAACAUAGAAGCAUUUGUUUUCUUUACUUUUUUCUCAUUAAAAAGUUAUUGAUGAAAAUAUUAUAUAUGUCAUUAAUUUAAGCUAUCUUCCUCCUUUUCAAAUUUUAAUUUGAAAUAUUAGCGUUAUAUUUUAAGUUAUAAUUUCAUUACCAAUGAAAUUUUUCGUUGCUACUUUGUUUAUUACGAAGAUUAUGUUGAUAAAUUAUUUAUUUCAUAUUAAUAUUUGCUAUUUGGAAUGACCACGAGCUUCUUAAUAUAUCAUGAUCGAUGUAAUUUUCACAUUAAGGAUAUAUUAUCAUUGACACCCUUGAGGCCUGCUCCUUAAGAAGUCGAAAAACUUUCAAAUCAUCCUAUUAUUUAUCCUCUAUAAUCACAACUAUAAUUUGAGUAAAUCAUAUUUGAAAAUGGACCAUUGAUCGACAAGGGGACCCUUAAUAAAAGAGGAAUUGAAAAUAAUGUAAAAUGAAGUGUCAAAAUUGGUAAACCGGACAAACUAAAAACAUGACAUUAUGGAAAAAUUUAGUGCCAACAUUUGGAGGAAUCGAAUGUACAUAAAAAUUGGCAGUGGGAAUCCUAUCCAUUGUUACAAGAUAUGAUUAAGAAAUGGUCAAUAUAAUGCAUGUGAACUUUAUUGGACUUGACCCACAUUCUUCAAAUGUUUUUACAUAUUUUGACAACUUAAAAAUAAGUAUAAUGAUUUUAGAAUAAUAAUUUAUUUUACGCUAUGAAUUUCUGUUAUAGUAACUUAAUUAUCUUCAACUUUGAAUAGUAAAAGAAUUUUACAUUUUUGUGUAGGUAAAUUGUUCAAGUACAGUCAACUCCAAGAGUCAAGUAGAUGUCAACGUCAAAUUUUGGUUGAUCGAAUGUUUACAUAACGGUCCAAUCCUCAUAUUUGAAAAACGACCUUAGCAUAGUCCAAACUAUAUUUUUAGACGGGUUGGUUCGUAUCUCC